rnacentral:rRNA from 1 species
UACGGGGGGGGCAAGCGUUGUUCGGAAUUACUGGGCGUAAAGGGCGCGUAGGCGGCCUGCUAAGUCGGAUGUGAAAUCCCUCGGCUCAACCGAGGAACUGCAUCCGAUACUGGCGGGCUUGAAUCCGGGAGAGGGAUGUGGAAUUCCAGGUGUAGCGGUGAAAUGCGUAGAUAUCUGGAGGAACACCGGUGGCGAAGGCGGCAUCCUGGACCAUUACUGACGCUGAGGCGCGAAAGCUAGGGGAGCAAACGGG